AACUUUCAACAACGGAUCUCUUUGGUUCUGGCAUCGAUGAAGAACGCAGCGAAAUGCGAUAANUAAUGGGAAUUGCAGAAUUCAGUGAGUCAUCGAAUCUUUCGAACGCACAUUCGCGCCCUCGUGGUAUUCCGCAGGGCAUCGCCUNGUUNGAGCGUCAUUU
rnacentral:rRNA from 1 species